rnacentral:rRNA from 1 species
UGGGGAAUAUUGCACAAUGGGCGCAAGCCUGAUGCAGCCAUGCCGCGUGUAUGAAGAAGGCCUUCGGGUUGUAAAGUACUUUCAGCGGGGAGGAAGGCGAUAAGGUUAAUAACCUUGUCGAUUGACGUUACCCGCAGAAGAAGCACCGGCUAACUCCGUGCCAGCAGCCGCGGUAAUACGGAGGGUGCAAGCGUUAAUCUGAAUUACUGGGCGUAAAGCGCACGCAGGCGGUCUGUCAAGUCGGAUGUGAAAUCCCCGGGCUCAACCUGGGAACUGCAUUCGAAACUGGCAGGCUAGAGUCUUGUAGAGGGGGGUAGAAUUCCAGGUGUAGCGGUGAAAUGCGUAGAGAUCUGGAGGAAUACCGGUGGCGAAGGCGGCCCCCUGGACAAAGACUGACGCUCAGGUGCGAAAGCGUGGGGAGCAAACA